UACGGGGGGGGCAAGCGUUGUUCGGAAUUACCGGGCGUAAAGGGCUCGUAGGCGGCCAACUAAGUCAGACGUGAAAUCCCUCGGCUUAACCGGGGAACUGCGUCUGAUACUGGAUGGCUAGAGGUCGGGAGAGGGAUGCGGAAUUCCAGGUGUAGCGGUGAAAUGCGUAGAUAUCUGGAGGAACACCGGUGGCGAAGGCGGCAUCCUGGACCAAUUCUGACGCUGAGGAGCGAAAGCCAGGGGAGCAAACGGG
rnacentral:rRNA from 1 species